AAUGUUUCAUCUAAUUUAAGGGCAAGAUGGUUGAAAUAGGUGGAGACCGGCUGUUUGGUCAGCAGUAUAACCCGGCUGUGUUUGUUCUUCCUGCCAUUGUUGUUCUUGCAAUGUUUGGGUUCGUUGGUUAUAAGAUGUAUAGUUGGAACAGAGCCAAACUUGCUGUUAAACAAAAGAAAAAGAAUAAGAAGAAUUAAGACUGUAAAAACAUCUGAUAUGAUGUUAAAUUGUAAUUAUGUUUAUUAGUAUCUAGUACCUCAAACUCCAGGAUGUUUAUUUAACUUUUAUCAGACACA